CUGCUCACUUCCACAGCACGUAUACUAAAAUUAGACUAAUACAGAGAAGAUUUAGCAAGGCCCCUGCCCAAGGAUAACAUGCAAAUUCAUGAAGCAUUCUAUUUAAAA